rnacentral:rRNA from 1 species
UACGUAGGGUGCAAGCGUUAAUCGGAAUCACUGGGCGUAAAGCGCACGUAGGCGGAUUGUUAAGUCAGGGGUGAAAUCCUGGAGCUCAACUCCAGAACUGCCUUUGAUACUGGCGAUCUUGAGUUCGGGAGAGGUGAGUGGAACUGCGAGUGUAGAGGUGGAAUUCGUAGAUAUUCGCAAGAACACCAGUGGCGAAGGCGGCUCACUGGCCCGAUACUGACGCUGAGGUGCGAAAGCGUGGGGAGCAAACAGGG